rnacentral:tRNA from 1 species
GGGGUGUGGCUCAGAGGUAGAGCGCUCCCCUAGCAUGUGUGGGGUACUGGGUUCGAUCCUCAGCACCACCCA